UGCCAGCCGCCGCGGUAAUACGGAGGGGGUUAGCGUUGUUCGGAAUUACUGGGCGUAAAGCGUACGUAGGCGGAUUAGUAAGUUAGAGGUGAAAUCCCAGGGCUCAACCUUGGAACUGCAUUUGAAACUGGAUAACUUGAGUAUGGUAGAGGUAAGCGGAAUUUCCAGUGUAGCAGUGAAAUGCGUAGAGAUUGGAAGGAAUAUCGAUGGCGAAGGCAGCUUACUGGGCCAAUACUGACGCUGUGGUGCGAAAGCGUGGGUAGCGAACGGGAUUAGAUA
rnacentral:rRNA from 1 species